rnacentral:lncRNA from 1 species
CCAGUGGAACUAUGUCCUCUGCAGAUGAUCUAGAUGAAAGAGAGCCACCUUCCCCUUCAGAAACUGGACCCAAUUCCCUUGGAACAUUUAAGAAAACAUUGAUGUCAAAGGCAGCUCUCACACACAAGUUUCGCAAAUUGAGAUCCCCCACGAAAUGUAGGGAUUGUGAAGGCAUUGUAGUGUUCCAAGGUGUUGAAUGUGAAGAGGUAAGAUCUUUGUGGAAUUGUGUUGACCCUUUUAUGCUUUUUGUUUUAUACUUUUUUGUUUUUAAUUUUACUUUUUAGGAUCUUUUGCAAAUAUAUGUUUAAUAAAUUGUACUACAGUACACCUUCUAUAAUUUUAUAUUUUAUUUUGUUGUUAAAUCUGUUUCAAAUAGCGCAAGUAAUACCUCUUAAACUCAUUUUUGUUGUGUUACCUUCCACCUGCAGUUUGCCCAGUUGUGAAUAGUUUUAAGGUUAACCAGUUUCAAACUAUCAUUUUCUUGUAGUGUCUCCUUGUUUGUCAUCGAAAGUGUUUGGAAAAUUUAGUCAUUAUUUGUGGUCAUCAGAAACUUCCAGGAAAAAUACACUUAUUUGGAGCAGAAUUCACACAAGUUGCAAAAAAGGAACCAGAUGGUAUCCCUUUUAUACUCAAAAUAUGUGCCUCAGAGAUUGAAAAUAGAGCUUUGUGUCUACAGGGAAUUUAUCGUGUGUGUGGAAACAAAAUAAAAACUGAAAAAUUGUGUCAAGCUUUGGAAAAUGGAAUGCACUUGGUAGAUAUUUCAGAAUUUAGUUCACAUGAUAUCUGUGACGUCUUGAAAUUAUACCUUCGGCAGCUCCCAGAACCAUUUAUUUUAUUUCGAUUGUACAAGGAAUUUAUAGACCUUGCAAAAGAGAUCCAACAUGUAAAUGAAGAACAAG